CUGCUUCCAGGAAAAGCCUCUAAGCAUCAGGUAACAUCAAAUCGUACCCCAAACCGACACAGGUGGUCAGGUAGAGAAUACCAAGGCGCUUGAGAGAACUCGGGUGAAGGAACUAGGCAAAAUGGUGCCGUAACUUCGGGAGAAGGCACGCUGACACGUAGGUGAAGUGAUUUACUCAUGGAGCUGAAGUCAGUCGAAGAUACCAGCUGGCUGCAACUGUUUAUUAAAAACACAGCACUGUGCAAACACGAAAGUGGACGUAUACGGUGUGACGCCUGCCCGGUGCCGGAAGGUUAAUUGAUGGGGUCAGCGCAAGCGAAGCUCCUGAUCGAAGCCCCGGUAAACGGCGGCCGUAACUAUAACGGUCCUAAGGUAGCGAAAUUCCUUGUCGGGUAAGUUCCGACCUGCACGAAUGGCGUAAUGAUGGCCAGGCUGUCUCCACCCGAGACUCAGUGAAAUUGAACUCGCUGUGAAGAUGCAGUGUACCCGCGGCAAGACGGAAAGACCCCGUGAACCUUUACUAUAGCUUGACACUGAACAUUGAGCCUUGAUGUGUAGGAUAGGUGGGAGGCUUUGAAGUGUGGACGCCAGUCUGCAUGGAGCCGACCUUGAAAUACCACCCUUUAAUGUUUGAUGUUCUAACGUGGACCCGUUACCCGGGUUGCGGACAGUGUCUGGUGGGUAGUUUGACUGGGGCGGUCUCCUCCUAAAGAGUAACGGAGGAGCACGAAGGUUGGCUAAUCCUGGUCGGACAUCAGGAGGUUAGUGCAAUGGCAUAAGCCAGCUUGACUGCGAGCGUGACGGCGCGAGCAGGUGCGAAAGCAGGUCAUAGUGAUCCGGUGGUUCUGAAUGGAAGGGCCAUCGCUCAACGGAUAAAAGGUACUCCGGGGAUAACAGGCUGAUACCGCCCAAGAGUUCAUAUCGACGGCGGUGUUUGGCACCUCGAUGUCGGCUCAUCACAUCCUGGGGCUGAAGUAGGUCCCAAGGGUAUGGCUGUUCGCCAUUUAAAGUGGUACGCGAGCUGGGUUUAGAACGUCGUGAGACAGUUCGGUCCCUAUCUGCCGUGGGCGCUGGAGAACUGAGGGGGGCUGCUCCUAGUACGAGAGGACCGGAGUGGACGCAUCACUGGUGUUCGGGUUGUCAUGCCAAUGGCACUGCCCGGUAGCUAAAUGCGGAAGAGAUAAGUGCUGAAAGCAUCUAAGCACGAAACUUGCCCCGAGAUGAGUUCUCCCUGAGACUUAAAGUCUCCUGAAGGAACGUUGAAGACGACGACGUUGAUAGGCCGGGUGUGUAAGCGCAGCGAUGCGUUGAGCUAACCGGUACUAAUGAACCGUGAGGCUUAACCUUACAACGCCGAAG
rnacentral:rRNA from 1 species